rnacentral:lncRNA from 1 species
UUUCAGAAACACCUUUUGGCUUCUUGGGCUCAAGCAAUCCUAUCUUUAAUAUCUUUGCCUUCUCAGCUGCUCUGUCUUCUGCUGGUCCCUUGUAUUUGCCCAUUUCUCUCUCGCUGACUAAGCCCUGCUGAGAAAACCCAUAUACUUUCUCUUUCAGUGUGUGAACAUGGAUGACCUUUGCUCCUAGCUCCUGACACCAAUUCCAUUGUCUCUUCUGUGCGACUGACACUCUACUGUUGCUAUGACAUUGGGCAAGGCCACUUUUUCUGUGUGUAGUGCCUUUCCCUGGACUGAUCUGUGUGCAUCUGCACCUUUCUUCCAGUAUGCCUCUCCUCUGCCAUGCUACUAAGAGCCUAGUUUAUUCUGCAGUGCAGGAUCAGAUUAAGUAUUCCCUGGAUUCAGCAUCUGGGUGGCUGAUUAACCAGUCUGUGCAUGCAGGCUGCAACAUGAACCCAACCCUUUCAAGACACUGGUGAAUCUCUGCAGGAGAUGUGACUUGACUGGAGACUCAGGUGAUAACAAGGUUUUGUUUCUACAUGCAGACCGAGGGCUGAGACACUCACCUGAGGAGCACUACAGGGCAUAUAAAUAAACCAAGGCAGCAGAUGAGGUCACUGGGAUCUGUGUAUUACUGUCUUUUCCUUUUUUUCUGCAAAAUAUUCUGCCCUGCCAUCUAUAAGACACAAGUGUGCUAUGACUCCAGAGAAAACUACCACAGGAGAAUAGUUAGAAAGACAACCAGCAUAUACAUCCAGGGGCUAAGAAGAAUGAAGACACAGAGCCUUGUCUAUUGCCUGUGAUCCACAAGACUCAGCACAAGAAAUGGAAGAAAGAAAUCUCAGCCGUAAUAAGUGUUUGUUUUCAUCUUUUUAAAAUUCAUAUUCAUCACUAUUGGGGAUUUAUUUCCUGCUUUUUUUUUUUUUUUUUAAAUGAACUUGGCAUAUGUUAAAAAACAAAUAAUAGCAAAGUUCUCCAGUCAGAUCUCAUACCCUCUGUACAUGUAGAAAUUCCCUGUGGUGUAACUGUUUUUCUCCCAGGUCUGGACUGUAGUCUCCUUUACCCUUCCUGCUCUUGGAUCCCUCUCUCUCAAAAAUGGGAUGAAAACUUCACCUGUGUACUGCAGGCUCCUCUUUUAAAGCUUGUAGUUCUAACCUGUUCUGCAACAGGUCUUUUACACAGCAAUGCCACCGAUCUAUUUAUU